GGAGCCCCGGCGGGGGGAUGGGGGCGCGGCGCGGAGCGCGCCCGCGAGCUGUUUACUCGCGGCGAAGGGGAGGAGUGUGUGCGGCCGCCGGCUGCUCCGAAAGCCGGCGGCUGCGGCUCUCCUCCCCUGCGCCGUCCCCGCCCUGGGCCGUCGGAACUGCGCGCUCCGCUCGCUGCCCGCGGCGCGCCCAUGGGCUGGGGAAGGGGCCGGCGGGAGCCAGGCGCAGCCCGGGUGCGGGUGUGCGGGUGUCGCAGCUGAGCACGGGUGUGCGUUGUCCGCGGGCCCGGGCUGGGCAGGGGGAGGGGAGGCUCGAGGUGCUCCUCCGGCUCCUACCGUGCUGCGCAGCGUGGGCUCCGCCAGCGGGUGCCGGCCGCGGGGAGGCUGGUCCGCGCCGCCGGAAGGAGGACGGUGGAUGGAGAGGGAGAAAGGAUCGCCGCCUGGGACCCUACCCCGAGCCAAGCCGGAGACCGGCUCAGACCGUGGCUCUUGUGUGGUCGAGCUGUCUUUAUCCGUUUGACAUGACAUCCUGACUUCCUCUUUAGUCGCCCAGAGGCUGGUGGGUGGGUGGUGCGCGAUGGGGACCCUUGGAGAAGGCGCUUUUGGUUCUGGCCGGUGUCUCCCGGGAGGAGGUGAAGUCCCGGGGCUCCACUCUCAGCGGUGGACCACCCUACCCUCUCUGUGCCUCUGUGUAUCAGUUUUGUUGCUUUCCUUGCUGAGACACCGCGCAGGGUAGCUUCGGAGUCCUGGUUUGGAGAAGUGAGGUUGUUUGCUGACUCGGUUGACAGUCCUUGCUGCAGGUCUGUGGAAUGGAAACACUCCAUCUUUGCGGACUUUGCUGCUCUUAGGAUAUUGACACUCACGGGCGCCCAACCAAGUUGCCUGACCAAACUCUGCAGCUUCUUUCACGAAAAAGAAAAAAGGAAAAAGCUUGCUUUUUUCCCCCUGCCAUUUUAUUCAUGGAUAGUGAAAUGAGCACUGUUUGGGGGUCCGGGUAGGCGCAGAGGCAGUCUUGACUUUGACACCCUGCCAAACAUGCCAUUCCUUGGUAUGAAACAUCUCCUGCAUCUCCAAUGGGUUGCAUUUGUUGCCUUGCUGUCCCCAAGUAGAAUCCAGUCAGAGCAUCCUGCGAUUUAGAUGCAAUCACCAGAAUGAUUGCUCUUAUAUCGCUUAGAGUCAAAAUUUUGCUUUGUUUUCUCUAAGUAUUUACAGGCUUUUUUUUUUUUCUUUGUGUGGAGAAAAGAUCACCGAAUUAACAUUCAUCUUAUCCUUAAAUUUAGCAGGAAGAACAGCUGGUAAUUGUGAGGAAUCUGCUUGUUACCAUUGGCUCCAGAGCACUUUAAAGUGUUUCACAGGCUGCAGAAGAGGAGCCUGGGGCCCUGGAAGACGAUGGAGCCUCCGCUAGCUGCAUGGAGCCCAGCCCUCUACUGACCUGCACUGGACCCGAACCUGAGCAAGAAAUACUCUUACUGAGCUCUACCACCGAGCCGUAGGGGAUGUUUGAAUUUGUUUAUUUGUCAGAGGGAGAGAGAGAGAGCACAAGCAGGGGGAACAGCAGGCAG